rnacentral:other from 1 species
GGUCCAUUUCCGCAAUCAAAAAACUCUAUUGUCAAGAAAUCCUAAGGAUCUG